UACGGGGGGGGGCAAGCGUUGUUCGGAAUUACUGGGCGUAAAGGGCUCGUAGGCGGCCAACUAAGUCGGAUGUGAAAUCCCCAAGCUUAACUUGGGAACUGCAUCCGAUACUGGAUGGCUUGAAUCCGGGAGAGGGAUGCAGAAUUCCAGGUGUAGCGGUGAAAUGCGUAGAUAUCUGGAGGAAUACCGGUGGCGAAGGCGGCAUCCUGGACCGGCAUUGACGCUGAGGAGCGAAAGCUAGGGGAGCAAAAGGG
rnacentral:rRNA from 1 species